rnacentral:rRNA from 1 species
UACCUGCAGCUCAAGUGGUAGCCGCUAUUAUUGGGCCUAAAACGUUCGUAGCCGGUUUAAUAAAUGCCUGGGUAAAUCGUAUGGCUCAACUAUACGAAUUCCGGGUAGACUGUUAAACUUGAGACCGGGAGAAGUCGGAGGUACUCCUGGGGUAGAGGUGAAAUUCUGCAAUCCUAGGGGGACCACCAGUGGCGAAGGCGUCCGACUAGAACGGGUCUGACGGUGAGGGACGAAGCCCCUGGGGGCGCAAACCGGCUAGAUACCCGGGUAGUCCAGGGUGUAAACGCUGCUUGCUUGAUGUUAGUUGGGCUCCGAGCCCAAUUAGUGUCGGAGAGAAGUUGUUAAGCAAGCUGCCUGGGAAGUACGGUCGCAAGACUGAAACUUAAAGGAAUUGGCGGGGGAGCGACAGCAACGGGUGGAGGCGUGCGGUUU